UACGGGGGGGGCAAGCGUUGUUCGGAAUUACUGGGCGUAAAGGGCUCGUAGGCGGCCAACUAAGUCGGACGUGAAAUCCCCAGGCUCAACCUGGGAACUGCGUCCGAUACUGGAUGGCUUGAAUUCGGGAGAGGGAUGCAGAAUUCCAGGUGUAGCGGUGAAAUGCGUAGAUAUCUGGAGGAAUACCGGUGGCGAAGGCGGCAUCCUGGACCGACAUUGACGCUGAUGAGCGAAAGCGUGGGUAGCAAACAGG
rnacentral:rRNA from 1 species